AGGGUUUGAUCAUGGCUCAGAACGAACGCUGGCGGCGUGCCUCAUACAUGCAAGUCGAGCGCGAAACUUCCUUCGGGAAGGAGUAAAGCGGCGCACGGGUGAGUAACACGUGGGUAAUCUGCCCUCGAGUAAGGAAUAACGCGGGGAAACUCGCGCUAAUACCGGAUACGUCCUUCGAGUCCUUGGGCUUGGAGGAGAAAGAUGGCCUCUCCAUGGAAGCUGUCGCUCGGGGAUGAGCCCGCGUCCCAUUAGCUAGUUGGUGGGGUAAUGGCCCACCAAGGCGUAGAUGGGUAGCUGGUCUGAGAGGAUGACCAGCCACACUGGAACUGAGACACGGUCCAGACUCCUACGGGAGGCAGCAGUAGGGAAUUUUGCGCAAUGGGCGCAAGCCUGACGCAGCAACGCCGCGUGUGGGAUGAAGGCCUUCGGGUCGUAAACCACUGUCGGAGGGGACGAAUGGCUUUGCGGCUAAUACCCGCAGAGCGUGACGGUACCCUCAAAGGAAGCACCGGCUAACUCCGUGCCAGCAGCCGCGGUAAUACGGAGGGUGCAAGCGUUGUUCGGAAUUACUGGGCGUAAAGCGCGUGUAGGCGGCUUGGCAAGUCGGAUGUGAAAUCCCCGGGCUCAACCCGGGAACUGCAUCCGAAACUGCUUCGCUAGAGUCUCGGAGAGGAAGGCAGAAUUCCCAGUGUAGGGGUGAAAUCCGUAGAUACUGGGAGGAAUACCGGCAGCGAAGGCGGCCUUCUGGACGAUGACUGACGCUGAGACGCGAAAGCGUGGGGAGCAAACAGGAUUAGAUACCCUGGAGUCCACGCCGUAAAC
rnacentral:rRNA from 1 species